GUUUUUGUAGUUAUACUUGUGGGAAGAAAGUCAACGAAAUCUCAGUUUUUGUUAAAUAUGUGUAAUGUUAUAGCAGAAGGUCGUUGCAGUGCUUUUAGUCUAUUACAACAACAAUUUCGUUUAAUGCGUACUCAACUGUGGAUUUGCCUCGGGUUUCAGAAACAAUCAUUAGUAAGGAGAGACUGAUUGAUUUAUCAGCACUUGGUUAUGGAAUAGUUUCAAGUGCUGAAAUAUAAUAUUGUAUAUACAUAUGUAUUUAAACAUACAUGUACAUACAUAUAUACUGAAACAUAAUGAGGUUUUGAAAAUUUAUAGAACAAGUAAAGAAGAAUUAAAUUCAUUCAUUUGAAACAAACGCAAUUUGCAAGGAUCAAAGGCGACGAAAUAUUUUCAGGUGUUGGAAAUCUUUAAAUUAAAACAAUUUGAAAAUUAGUCAAGCUUCGUUAUUCGACAAAACUGUAGUGUAGAAUGUAAUCAUAUUUAGCGUCAUAUUAACUGGAAGACUUAGUGAUAAUAUAAAUGCUGUCAUUCAUUAUU